rnacentral:lncRNA from 1 species
GGUGAGAAGAAAUUCCCGAAGGGAGCUGUGGAAUUUAGUAGAAAUGUGGAAUUUACUAGACGAAGGCAUUGCUGUAAGAGACAAUGGUUUUCUCGUAAUAAACGGGCAACCAUUGUCAGCUAGGGAGAUCUGCAACGAACUGGAUAGGAUUACGAGUACGUUGGUUGGUUGGCACAUUCACGGCGUUAUUAACAACCUUGCACCGCAACAGCAUAGGCAAUUAGAAAGAAUGAUUUGUAGCUGCUUAACACAUACGAUAAGUCGAAUUGCUUUGGCGCAUUUACAUCCCGAUGAUAUUUGCAAUUAUCGGCCUGGUUACACGGGAUGGAAAAGGCAUUUGAAUUUGGUUGCUUCGCUUGCGACGUUGACGAUCGCCCUGGAUUUUUUCGGGGGUCGAAAUGUCAUUCCUGAAAAUAUCGUUCCCCUGCAAUUUUAAAUUCGUACAUUCUCUAUAGAUUUUCUGAUGUUGCACGAACGAAAACAUUAACUAAAAUAACUGAAAUUAUUGAAGAUAGCAACAGCAAAGUUUUCAGACGAAACCAUUACCAUUCCGGAUAAUGAUUUGUGGGUACCAAGUAGUAAAUUGGGCCAUCCAUUUAAUAUACGCCCUUCAUAAUCCCCUUAGGAUAUAAAACCCCCUUGAAUGCAAUUUGUGUAUGUAACCCCAUAGGAUACCUUACUAACCCCUUUAGAUAUCGCUUUUUCUUGGAUAUCACUAAAACACCUAAUUUUUGCCAUUUUUUGAAAAUCUCUCAAGCUACCCACUGGGAAAAUUUGAGAUGAAGACCCCCUCGUCCCCCAUUGGAUAUCCAGACUCUUCAACAAGGNNNNNNNNNNNNNNNNNNNNCUUCAACAAGGGGGGGGGGGGGGUGCACAUGUUAAAUGGGUGGCCCUACCAUACAGUGGGUAACAGUGAUGCAACACUAUACAAUAGUUUACCACUUGAGAUAAGAA